CGCCUCACCGCGAGUACUGGUCCGGCUGGACCUUUCCUUCUGGGGAACCUCAUGGCCUUCACUGGCUGUGGGGGGAACCAGGACUUUUACUGUGAAAAAAUUAGAGUGUUCAAAGCAGGCCUUUGCUCGAAUACAUUAGCAUGGAAUAAUAGAAUAGGACGUGUGGUUCUAUUUUGUUGGUUUCUAGGACCGCCGUAAUGAUUAAUAGGGAUAGUCGGGGGCGUCAGUAUUCAGCUGUCAGAGGUGAAAUUCUUGGAUUUGCUGAAGACUAACUACUGCGAAAGCAUUCGCCAAGGAUGUUUUCAUUAAUCAGGGAACGAAAGUUAGGGGAUCGAAGACGAUCAGAUACCGUCGUAGUCUUAACCAUAAACUAUGCCGACUAGGGAUCGGACGGGAUUCUAUAAUGACCCGUUCGGCACCUUACGAGAAAUCAAAGUUUUUGGGUUCUGGGGGGAGUAUGGUCGCAAGGCUGAAACUUAAAGAAAUUGACGGAAGGGCACCACAAGGCGUGGAGCCUGCGGCUUAAUUUGAUUCAACACGGGGAAACUCACCAGGUCCAGACAAAAUAAGGAUGGACAGAAUGAGAGCUCUUUCUUGAUCUUUUGGAUGGUGGUGCAUGGCCGUUUUUAGAGGGUGGAGUGAUUUGUCUGCUUAAUUGCGAUA
rnacentral:rRNA from 1 species